rnacentral:rRNA from 1 species
AACGCGAAGAACCUUACCAAAUCUUGACAUCCUUUGACAACUCUAGAGAUAGAGCUUUCCCCUUCGGGGGACAAAGUGACAGGUGGUGCAUGGUUGUCGUCAGCUCGUGUCGUGAGAUGUUGGGUUAAGUCCCGCAACGAGCGCAACCCUUANNNUUAGUUGCCAUCAUUAAGUUGGGCACUCUAGNNNGACUGCCGGUGACAAACCGGAGGAAGGUGGGGAUGACGUCAAAUCAUCAUGCCCCUUAUGAUUUGGGCUACACACGUGCUACAAUGGANNNUACAAAGGGCAGCNAAACCGCGAGGUCANGCAAAUCCCAUAAAANNNUUCUCAGUUCGGAUUGUAGUCUGCAACUCGACUACAUGAAGCUGGAAUCGCUAGUAAUCGUAGAUCAGCAUGCUACGGUGAAUACGUUCCCGGGUCUUGUACACACCG